AGACGCCCCAGCUCCGCCGAGAGGCCGCUUGCGCAGGCUCCUUCUUCUUCCGCAAGUGUAGGCAGAGCCCCCGGAGCCAUGGCCAGCCCUUCCCGCAGCUCCGAAGCCACUGGCAAGCCCCGAGGCAGGGAUGGCCGGCCCAGGAGGGAGGAGGACGACGUCCCUCCCGAAGAGAAGAGGCUGCGGCUCUUGCUGGAGGGGGGAAGCGCACAGCCCCAGGACGGCGAGGACGGGGAGGACGCGCCGCGGCCGGGCAGGGUGGAGACCGGCACCCAGACAGGUGGCGACGGCAGAGGGGCGGAAUUCUCCACGAGUUUUGAGCAGCCUCGGUUUUCCUACCACCUCCAAAUCAUGGAAGACACAGGGUAAGAGCAAAGACAAGGUGGCUGUGGCCGAUGUCCACCCUCUCGGGGCGUCCCUUCUCUUCUCUCCUCCUUGGGCAGGGAGUCCAUCGGGGUGCAACCUGGCUGGGGUGGGGAGGAGGUGCAGGGCCUGGUCAGAGCGGGCAUGGCCACAGGCAGGAGACAGCGACUGCUUGGUCCGGGGCAGGUGAGCGCAGCGCAGGCCAGGGCCCUACCUGUCCACGGUGCGCGCGAGCGGCCAGCAGAGGGCGCCAGAGGACCACGAGCGGCCCGCGGAGGAGUCCGCGCCGGCCCCGAUGCCCAGCUCCGCGCCGCGCGGACCCACCGAGCCCGCGCUCAGACGCCCCAGCUCCGCCGAGAGGCCGCUCGCUCCGGGUCCUUCCUCUUCCCCAGGUGCAGGCAGAGCCCCCGGGGCCAUGGCCAGCCCUUCCGGCAGCUCCGAAGCCCCUGGCAAGCCCCGAGGCAGGGAUGGCCGGCCCAGGAGGGAGGAGGACGACGUCCCUCCCGAAGAGAAGAGGCUGCGGCUCUUGCUGGAGGGGGGAAGCGCACAGCCCCAGGACUGCGAGGACGGGCAGGACGCGCCGCGGUCGGCCAGGAAGGAGACCGGCACCCAGACAGGUGGCGACGGCAGAGGAGCACAGUGGCUCACACCUGUAAUCCCAGCACUUUGGCAGGUCGAGGCUGGUGGAUCACCUAAGGUCAGGAGUUCGAGACCAGCCUGGCCAACAUGGCGGAACUGUCUCUACUGAAAAUACAGAAAUUAGCCAGGUGUGAUGGCACACACCUGUAAUCACAGCUGCUUGGGAGGCUGAGGCAGGAGAAUCAUUUGAACCUGGGAGACAGAGGUUGCAGUCAGCCGAGAUCGCACCAAUGCACUUCAGCCAGCCUGGGUGACAGAGUGAGACCCUGUUUCAAAAAUAAAUAAAUAAAUAAAAUAGAAUUCUG
rnacentral:lncRNA from 1 species